GAUGAACGCUGGCGGCGUGCCUAAUACAUGCAAGUCGAGCGAACGGACGAGAAGCUUGCUUUUCUGAUGUUAGCGGCGGACGGGUGAGUAACACGUGGAUAACCUACCUAUAAGACUGGGAUAACUUCGGGAAACCGGAGCUAAUACCGGAUAAUAUUUUGAACCGCAUGGUUCAAAAGUGAAAGACGGUCUUGCUGUCACUUAUAGAUGGAUCCGCGCUGCAUUAGCUAGUUGGUAAGGUAACGGCUUACCAAGGCAACGAUGCAUAGCCGACCUGAGAGGGGGAUCGGCCACACUGGAACUGAGACACGGUCCAGACUCCUACGGGAGGCAGCAGUAGGGAAUGUGCCGCAAUGGGCGAAAGCCUGGCGGAGCAACGCCGAGUGAGUGAUGAAGGUCUUCGGAUCGUAAAACUCUGUUAUUAGGGAAGAACAUCUGUGUAAGUAACUGUACACAUCUUGACGGUACCUAAUCAGAAAGCCACGGCUAACUACGUG
rnacentral:rRNA from 1 species